rnacentral:rRNA from 1 species
GAGCGGUAAUACUAAUGCAUAUGGCGGAUGCCUUGACAUUAAAAAGCGAUGAAGGACGUAGCUGGCUGCGAUAAGCUUCGGGGAAGUGCUAAGCAACUUUUGAUCCGGAGAUUUCCGAAUGGGAUAACCCCCUCUUUUAGAGGAUCCAUAACUGAAUACAUAGGUUAUGGAAGCGCACCCUGGGAACUGAAACAUCUUAGUACCAGGAGGAAUAUAAAUCAAUUGAGAUUCCGUGAGUAGUGGCGAGCGAAAACGGAAAAGUCUAAACCGAAUCCUUCGGGGUUCGGGGUUGCGAGGUAAUUUUACUCUUUUAAUAGGGGUUUGAGAUUAUUUCUUUAGCAGAACACUCUGGAAAGAGUGACCAUAGUGGGUGAUAGUCCCUUAUGCGAAAAAGAAAUGUCCGAAUGUAAUUAUUCUCAAGUAGGGCGGGACCGGAGAAAUCCCGUUUGAAUCAGGGGCCACUAUAGCUCCAAGACUAAAUAUUUUUAAUGAUCGAUAGUGAACUAGUACCGUGAGGGAAAGGUGAAAAGUAUCCCGAUAAGGGAGAUGAAAUAGUAUCUGAAACCAUAUGCUAACAAAGAGUCAGAGUGGUAGUAAUACCAUGAUGGCGUGCUUUUUGUAGAACGAACCAACGAGUUAAUUCUGUAUUGUCUGACUAAGCUACUUUCGUAGUGGAGUCAUAGUGAAAGCGAGCCUUAACGGGCGACAUGAUAGUGCGGAUUAGACCCGAAGCCAGGUGAGCUAUUUAUGAGCAGGGUGAAUUUCGAGUAAAAUCGAAAGGAGGCCCGAACCCACGAGCCGUGCAACACUCGGGGAUGACUUGUGAAUAGAGGAGAAAUUCCAAUCGAACUUGGCGAUAGCUGGUUCUUCCCGAAAUAGCUUGAGGGCUAGCGUCCUUUAAAUGAGCACAAGAGGUAGAGAUACUGAAUGAGAAUCCGCGGUUCGCCGUAGGCUUCUCAACCAAACUCCGAAUUCUUGUGUUUCUUAUCUGGGCAGUCAGAACUCCGGGGCUAAGCUCGGAGCUCAAAACGGAAACAGCCGAGAUCGCAAUCUAAGGUCCCUAAAUUCAUAUUAAGUGGUAAAGGAGGUGAAGUUUCUUAUACACCUAGAAGGUUGGCUUAGAAGCAGCCAUCCUUUAAAGAGUGCGUAACAGCUCACUAGUCUAGAGACUUCGCGCCGAAAAUUCAACGGGGCUAAAUAUGAUACCGAAGAUGCGGGCUUGCAAUCUUCUUAAAAGGAAUAACUAAAUGAAGCGUGAAUUUUAUCAAAUUUCACGCAAGCGCUACAACAUGAUGGUAGCUUUUAAGUUGUGCUUUUUAAGAAGAUUGUGAGCGGUAGGGAAGUGUUCCAUGCGCACUGAAGCGGAAGGCGUGAGCCACCGUGGAGUGCAUGGAAGUAAGAAUGUUGGUAUUAGUAACCGCAAUUGGGGUGAGAUCCCCCGACACCGAAAGUCUAAGGUUUCCUGGGCAAUGUUGAUCAACCCAGGGUCAGUCGGUCCUAAGGCGAGGUCGAAAGACGUAGUCGAUGGACACAAGGUUAAUAUUCCUUGACUAUUUAAUGUCACGGUAUGGGAGGACGCAAUCUAGUAUAUUUUGCAUCUUAUUGGAUUGAUGUAGACAUAGUGAGGGUGCUUUUCAGGUAAAUCCGGAAGGUAUAGCCCAAGUUAUGGCUGGAGGUUUUUCUUCGGAAAGACCAACAAAAUAAAGCAGGUUGUCUAGAAAAGUCUCUAAACUUAUCAUUAAAUAUCCGUACUAAAACCGACACAGGUAGACUGGGCGAGUAGCCUAAGGUGAACGAGUGAUCCUCCGUUAAGGAACUCGGCAAAAAAGCUAGACGUAAGUUCGCAAAAUGUCUCGCCUAUAUCGCAAGGUAUAGGCCGCAGCGAAAGUUUCCCAAGCAACUGUUUACCAAAAACACAGGUCUCUGCAAACCCGCAAGGGGAAGUAUAGGGGCUGACGCCUGACCAGUGCUGGAACGUUAACGGGAGCGGUGCAAGCCAAUCCCCGAAGCGCCAGUGAACGUCGGCGAUAACUAUAAUCGUCCUAAGGUAGCGAAAUUCCUUGUCAGGUAAAUUCUGACCCGCAUCAAUGGCGUAAUGACUUGGGAACUGUCUCAACGGAGAGCUCGGUGAAAUUGCAAUGACGGUAAAGAUGCCGUCGACCUGCAGCAAGACGAAAAGACCCCGUGGAGCUUUACUACAACUUGGCAUUGAUUUAGAAUUUUAGUUGUCGAGCUUAGGUGGGAGACUAUGAAAUCCGGACGCUAGUCCAGAUGGAGUCAACAGUGGAAUACCACCCUGCUGAAGUUUUAAGUCUAACCCUGGACUGUUAUGAGGAACAAAAAUCUUCGUUACAUGUAAACCAGCAAAUGACAAAACUAAUUGCAUAAGUUGUAAAUAAAGAUCUAAUUGUUCGUAAGAAUGAUUGGAUUUAUUAGUAUUGUCUUUUGCGGUUCACAAAAAAAAUGUAUACGACGUUUUUAGUUAUUCAUACCAGUCCGGGAACAGUGCCUGGCGGGUAGUUUGACUGGGGCGGUCGCCUCCUAAAUGGCAACGGAGGCGUUUACAAAGGUUGGUUAGGUCCGGAUGGAAAUCGGACUGAUAGUGCAAAAGCAUAAACCAGCUUUACUGAGAGACCCAUCAGUCGAUCAGUUACGAAAGUAGAAUUUAGUGAACCGACUAUCGCUUAUAGGAGCGUAGAAGAUCAUCAGAUAAAAGUUACCCCGGGGAUAACAGGCUGAUCCCAUCCAAGAGUCCAUAUCGACGAUGGGGUUUGGCACCUCGAUGUCGGCUCAUCGCAUCCUGGGGCUGGAGAAGGUCCCAAGGGUUUGGCUGUUCGCCAAUUAAAGCGGUACGUGAGCUGGGUUCAAACCGUCGUGAGACAGGUUGGUCUCCUAUCUGCUGUGGGCGUUGUUGCUUGAAAAGAGUCUUUCCUAGUACGAGAGGACCGGAAAGAACAAACCUCUGGUGUAUCAGCUGUUCCGCCAGGAGCACUGCUGAGUAGCUACGUUUGGAAAGGAUAACCGCUGAAAGCAUAUAAGCGGGAAGCCUCCUUUAAGAUAAGGCAACUGUUGGAGCUUGCUCCAACAUAAUUUCCUAGAAGAUGACUAGGUUGAUAGGUCUCAGAUAUAAGUGCAGUAAUGCAUUAAGUCGAGAGAUACUAAUAAAUUAAAAUUACACUCUU